rnacentral:rRNA from 1 species
AGUGAACGCUGGCGGUAGGCCUAACACAUGCAAGUCGAACGGUAGCACACUAAGAGCUUGCUCCUACGGGUGGCGAGUGGCGGACGGGUGAGGAAUACACCGGAACCUACUUUUUCGCGCGGGUUAACAUAGGGAAACAUACCCUACUAUCGCAUAAGACCAACGGGUGAAAGCAGGGGAUCUCCGGACCUUACGCGACUGAAUGAGACGAUGUCGGUUUAGCUGGUUGGGCGGGUAAAGGCCCCCCAAGGCGACGAUCCGUAGCUGGUCUGAGAGGACGAACAGCCACACUGGAACUGAGACACGGUCCAGACUCCUACGAGAGGCAGCAGUAGGGAAUUUUGGACAAUGGGCGCAAGCCUGAUCCAGCCAUGCCGCGUGAAUGAAGAAGGCCUUCGGGUUGUAAAGCCCUUUUGUUGGGAAAGAAACGCUCCGGAUUAAUACCCCGCUGUACUGACGGUACCCAAAGAAUAAGCACCGGCUAACUUCGUG